rnacentral:lncRNA from 1 species
GUUAUGACCGAUAUCUUGUGCCCAUUUUAUCAUAGCUGAUUUCACCGUUUCAUCCUGUGUAUUCCAUUUCAACAGCAGAUUAUACAUUCUCGACAGAUUCUUAGUAUUGGGUUCUAACAGUUCUGUUUCCAAUUUUGACCUCUCCAUCUGGAAACCUAUUUUCCUGUCCUGUUUAAAUGUCUCGUUUAUCUGAAGGUAGUGCAACCAAUCUCGCACUUUGGACUUUAAUUUCUCAUAGCUCUGUAAUUUAACUUUUUCCCCAUCUUGUUCUAGAAUUUCACAAUAUUUUGGCCAUUUAGACUCCAUAUUAAGUUUUUCACCUCUUUAGCUUCCAUUGGUGACAACCACCUGGGAGUUUUACUUUCCAAUAGAUCUUUAUACCGCAUCCAAACAUUGUAUAAUGCUUUCCUAACAAUAUGGUUUUUGAAACCUUUAUGCUGUUUUACCUUAUCAUACCAUAUAUAUGCAUGCCAACCAAAUCUAUUAUCAAACCCUUCUAGAUCCAAAAUAUCUGUAUUCUCAAGAAGUAGCCACUGUUUCAACCAGCAGAAAGCCGCCGAUUCAUAGUAGAGUCUUAAGUCCGGCAGGGCAAACCCCCCUCUAUCUUUAGCAUCAGUUAGAUUCUUAAAUUUUAUUCUGGGCUUUUUGCCCUGCCAGACAAAUUUAGAUAUAUCUUUCUGCCACUUCUUGAAACAGUCCAUCUUGUCCAAAAUCUGCAAUGUCUGAAAUAAAAACAACAUUCUAGGCAAUACAUUCAUCUUGAUAACAGCAAUUCGGCCUAACAAAGAAAGUUUCAACCUUGACCAUAUUUCUAGAUCCUUCUUUACCUCUGUCCAACAUUUAUCAUAAUUGUCCUUAAAUAAAUUCACAUUCUUAGAUGUUAAGUUUACCCCCAGGUACUUUACUUUUUCGUUAUCACUAGUCCUGUUUCAUUCUGAAACUUCUCUUUUCGGCCAAUGUUAAAUUUUUAUCCAACACUUUCGUUUUCUGUUUGUUCAGUUUAAAUCCUGCUACUUGACCAAAUAUCUCAAUUAGUUCUAAUACUCUUUUAGUACUAGUAUCUGGCUGUUGCAAGGUCAAUACUAGGUCAUCUGCAAAUGCCCUUAACUUGUACUGUUUGGCUCCGACUUGUACUCCUUUAACCAACUGGUCUCCUCUAAUCAUAUUUAACAAAACCUCCAGGACUAAUAUAAACAAUAGAGGGGAUAUUGGGCACCCCUGUCGUGUACCUUUUUCUAUAGGUAUUUCUUCCGUUACCACAUUGUUUACAAUUAACUUUGCUUUUUGUUUAGAGUAUAUUGCACCUAUACCAUUUUCAAACCCUUGACCUACCCCCAUCCCUUGGAGAUUCUUCUUCAUAAAACUCCAACCAAUAUUGUCAAAGGCUUUCUCCGCGUCCACAAAAAUUAAAACAGCCUUCCUAUUAAUGUCCACUUCUAACAGUUCCAAAAUGUCUAUAAUGUUCCUCACAUUGUCCGACAUAUAUCUCCCUGGAAGAAAGCCAGUUUGGUCUUUAUGAAUCUCCCCUACCAACACUCUCUUCAGUCUUUUUGCCAUAAUGUCCGCAAAAAUUUUGUAAUCCACAUUGAGUAAUGAUAUAGGGCGGUAGUUUUUAACCUGGUUCUUUUCAGUCUCAGUUUUCGGUAUAAGUGAGAUAAAAGCUUCUUUCCACGACUCUGGUGCCUUUUUCCCCUCCAAAAUUUCAUUACAUACUUCCUUCAGUGGUUGUACUAACCAUUCCUUCAACACUUUAUAGUAUCUGGCGGUCAAACCAUCUGGUCCUGGAGCUUUUCCCAAUUGCAUCUUCUGAAUGGCACCCUCUAUUUCUUGUCCUGUUAUUUUCUCAUUCAAAAUCCUUCUGCUUUGCUCUGAAAUUUUUGGUAAUCCAUGUUUCUUAACAAAUUCUUCUAUUUCCUGUUCAUUAACUGGCCCUUGUGCAUAUAAUUUCCUAAAAUAACCUUGAAAACAAUUACUUAUCUCAUUUGGUUUGUGGAUAAUCUUUCCGUCCACUUCUAAACUUGUCACAGUGUUCAAUUUUUGCCUCUUUUUCAAUUGCCAUGACAGAAAUUUCCCACAUUUAUCUGCUGAUUCAAAUGUCUUUUGUCUCAUUUGCUUUAUUUUCCAUUCUAUCUCUUGAUUCAUCAAUUCCAUAUAUUGCACCUGAUAGUACUUUAUUUCUUUCAGAAUCUCAUGAGACUUUGGUUUAGACCUCAAUUUCUUUUCACCUUCUUUUAUUUUUUCCAGAAUUUUUCCUUUCCUUUCAUUUUGAUUUUUCCUUUUUAUGGAGUUCUGUUGUAUUAGGAAACCUCGCAUCACGGCCUUACUUGCGUCCCAAAUUAUUCUUUUUCCACUUCUGUUCUCAAAUUUAUCUCAAAAUAAUCUUUCACUGUUUUUGGGCCUUCUUAUAAAUCUCUUCAUCCCUGAAUAGGGUGUCAUUCAUUCUCCAUCUGAAGGAUCCAGUUGUUGUAAGUUUCAUCUCCAUCUUUACAGCAUUAUGGUCGGAGCAAGUCUUUGAGCAGAUUUCUACCUUUUUAAUCCUUGGCGCCAUACUGCUAGUUACCCAAAUUUGGUCAAUUCUUGUCCAUGUCAUUUUUGCUUCAGAGAAAAAGGUUCCCUCUCUCUCAAGAGGGUUCCUUGUUCUCCAAAUGUCAAUCAAGUCCAUAGUUUCAGUCAUUUCAAAAAAAGUCUUUGGUAGUCUCCCUUCCUUGGAAAUUACUUGUCUCUGUGCUUUAUCCAUAUUUGUGGAAACUACGCCAUUCAUGUCUCCCAUCAUUAUAAUUCUGUAGUCUAAAUAGUCCAUUAAAGUCUCAUGCAACUUCUUAAAGAAUUCCGCCUUCCCAUCAUUUGGUGCAUAGAUUCCAACUAUCAAAAUUUUUCUCCUUGAACUUGUAUUUCAAUUGCCAGGUAUCUUCCUUGUUCAUCUUUAAAUAUCAUCUUUGGAGCCAAUUUUUCUUUUGCAUAGAUCACCACGCCUCUUUUCUUAACUUUAUCUGAUGAAAUAAAUUCUUGUCCAAGUCUCUUAUUUACCAAUAAUUUCCGAUGUGUCCUGGUCACAUGAGUCUCUUGUAGGCAUAUUAGAUCUAAUUGUUCUCUUUUCAAAAUAUGAAAAACUUGGCGUCUUUUUCGGGAAGGUUCAAACCAUUACAGUUCCAGCUAAGAAGUUGCAGAGACAUUUUGUUAUUAAGUACCUGUUCCUCCGACUGCUCCUAGCUUUUGUUCCUCUUCAGGUGAUGGUAUGAGUCCAAAUGACAAGUUUGCAAUGUCUGUCACUCCUUUUUCUUGUAUUGUUGUUUCUACUGUUCCUUUCUGCAAGUCCUCCUGAUAUCUCUCCAGAAACUGUUCUUUAUCUUGAACUGUUCUUAUUUUAACCUUCCUUCCUUUGAAAGUAAAAGACAAUCCUUGUGGAAACUCCCACCUGAAGGGUAUGAUGUUUUUCUUCAGCAGGUAGACCAAAUCUUUAUAGAAGGCUCUCACCUCCAAAAUAUAUUUAGGGAUAUCUUUAAAAAUUUGUACUUGACUAUUUUCAAUCUCCAAUGCCUUUUGAUAAUGCAAAUUCAAUAUCUUAUCUCUUUCUCCUUUGGAUCUCAAUGUGAUCAAACAAUCCCUUGGCUUCUUCCCCUGCCUCCUGCCGAGCCGGAAAGCUGUUGUUAUUUCAAGUUCUUCUUCCUGCAGCUCCUCUUGCCAGAAUUCCAUAAAGUUCUGUGUAAGAAAAUCCACAAGGUUGUCUCCCUCACUCUCGGGAACCAAUCUCAAUUUCAAAUUUCUCUCUUUUCUCUGUAGUUCCAACAAAGAUAGAGCUGCAUCAUGUUCAUUCACUUUUUUGUAAUCGGCACAAGCUCCUGCCUUGUCUCCUCCGCAGUAUUUUUGCACUUUCAGCAAUCUUUCGUGUUUCAGAACUUUCUUGAAUUAGUUUAUUAAUAGAUUCUGUAUUAGAUGUUACACUUGCAGUAUUCAAGUCCAAUCUUGCUGUCAGUUCUGUCAAUUUUUUGAAUUUUCCGUAGAUAGCUUUGUCAGUGCUUCUAAAGAUUGGUUUAUUUUGAGCAGUGCCUGUGUCAUUGAAUCCAUAGAUGCUGUUGCCACUUUUUCCUGUGCAGCUGGUGGUAUGCCGGGUAUUGAGCCCCUUUUCUUUUGUGUCUGUUUUGCUUUGGAUCUAGUUGUUAUCUCUUCUGCUGGGCCACUCAUAUCCUCAAGGUCGUUCUCACAGGAAAAACUUGCAAGUGGAAAAUCCCACUGUUUCUUUUUCACUGUAACAGUUUCUCUUUAUACCCUCUAGAGGGAGCAUUUAAUUGUAUCCAAGUGAAAAGAGAAAAAACAAGGAAGCACAGAGCAAUC